GACGAACGCUGGCGGCGUGCCUAAUACAUGCAAGUUGAGCGAUGAAGAUUGGUGCUUGCCCCAAUUUGAAGAGCAGCGAACGGGUGAGUAACGCGUGGGGAAUCUGCCUUUGAGCGGGGGACAACAUUUGGAAACGAAUGCUAAUACCGCAUAACAACUUUAAACAUAAGUUUUAAGUUUGAAAGAUGCAAUUGCAUCACUCAAAGAUGAUCCCGCGUUGUAUUAGCUAGUUGGUGAGGUAAAGGCUCACCAAGGCGAUGAUACAUAGCCGACCUGAGAGGGUGAUCGGCCACAUUGGGACUGAGACACGGCCCAAACUCCUACGGGAGGCAGCAGUAGGGAAUCUUCGGCAAGGGACGAAAGUCUGACCGAGCAACGCCGCGGGAGUGAAGAAGGUUGUCGGAUCGGAAAACUCUGUUGGUAGAGAAGAACGUUGGUGAGAGUGGAAAGCUCAUCAAGUGACGGUAACUACCCAGAAAGGGACGGCUAACUACGUG
rnacentral:rRNA from 1 species